UACGAGGGGUGCAAGCGUUAUUCGGAAUUAUUGGGCGUAAAGGGUGCGUAGGUGGUGCACUAAGUCAACUGUUAAAUUCCUCGGCCUAACCGAGGGUCAGCGGUAGAUACUGGUGUGCUAGAGGGUGGAAGAGAGAAGUGGAAUUCUCGGAGUAGCGGUAAAAUGCGUAGAUCUCGAGAGGAACACCAAUGGCGAAGGCAGCUUCUUGGUCCAACCCUGACAAUGAGGCACGAAAGAGUGGGGAGCAAACAGG
rnacentral:rRNA from 1 species